UUUUCAAUUCAGCCCUCAGAGUUUCUAAAACAUUCAAUUCAACCCCCAAAGUUUCUGAAAUAUUCAAUUUAGCCCCCAAAGUUUAUGAGUCUUCUAUUUAAUCCCAAAGUUUCUGAAAUUUUCAAUUCAACCCCUUUAUAUCUUCUAGAUAUAACAAUUCAGACUUUUUUUGGUGUAAGAUAAAGCAACUUGAGUAUCGAACUUUGAUUAUAUGCGAGCAACUUAAAAGGUCAUGUAUAGUGCUGAGUAUUGGAAAUUAUGCAAUGAGCUUGCACUUUCUGAAACAAGUUUUGCAAAUUUAAAGGCACAUUAGGAGUACACAAUGGCGAAGCCACAUUAGAGUGUGGGGUCAAUUGACCCCAUUGGAAAAAAACUAUUUUAUAAUAUAUGAUGGGCAAUAUGACCAAUGUUUUAUUUGUACACAAUUUGUCAAAACUACGUCUUUUUGGUAGAUUUGUUUUUUUAAAAAAAAAUAACUUCUCUUCUCCCAAAUCAG
rnacentral:lncRNA from 1 species